GAUCCUAGCGUGGCGUCAGAAAGGUAUUACCAUGAGAGCACGCAGCACGAAAAGGUCACGAGCAAGAAUGUUUACAAGUUUGAAAUUGUCGUUACAAUGUCGAUUCAAAGGUAAGUAUUAUUUAUGUGUUUCAACAGGAACGCGAGAAGGCCAACUUAAGGUGAGUAUUAUUAAUGAAUUUCAGAUUCAGCAUGAGGAGAUACAAGCAAGAUAAGGCAAGAUGUAAAAAGGUGUAAUAGCGAUAGAUUCAAUUUAAAUAUAUAUGUAUGUACAUAAAUAGAAAUAAAAUAUUAUUAGUAUUAACAAUGUAUAUGUAUUUCGUAUGGAUAAAGAAAAGAAACAGAGUAAAUUAAAAGGUUUGUCUCAA